rnacentral:rRNA from 1 species
UACAGAGACUGCAAGCGUUAUUCGGAUUCACUGGGCGUAAAGGGCGCGUAGGCGGCGUGGUAAGUCACUUGUGAAAUCUCCGAGCUUAACUCGGAACGGUCAAGUGAUACUGCUGUGCUAGAGUGCGGAAGGGGCAACUGGAAUUCUCGGUGUAGCGGUGAAAUGCGUAGAUAUCGAGAGGAACACCUGCGGCGAAGGCGGGUUGCUGGGCCGACACUGACGCUGAGGCGCGAAAGCUAGGGGAGCGAACGGG